UAGGGAAUUUUCGGCAAUGGGGGCAACCCUGACCGAGCAACGCCGCGUGAGUGAAGACGGCCUUCGGGUUGUAAAGUUCUGUUGUAAGGGAAGAACGGUAGAUAGAGAAUAUCUAAGUGACGGUACCUUACCAGAAAGCCACGGCUAACUACGUGCCAGCAGCCGCGGUAAUACGUAGGUGGCGAGCGUUAUCCGGAAUUAUUGGGCGUAAAGGGUGCGUAGGCGGCCUGUUAAGUAAGUGGUUAAAUUGUUGGGCUCAACCCAAUCCAGCCACUUAAACUGGCAGGCUAGAGUAUUGGAGAGGCAAGUGGAAUUCCAUGUGUAGCGGUAAAAUGCGUAGAUAUAUGGAGGAACACCAGUGGCGAAGGCGGCUUGCUAGCCAAAGACUGACGCUCAUGCACGAAAGCGUGGGGAGCAAAUAGGAUUAGAUACCCUAGUAGUCCACGCCGUAAACGAUGAAUACUAAGUAUUGGGGAAACUCAGUGCUGCAGCUAACGCAAUAAGUAUUCCGCCUGUGGAGUAUGCACGCAAGUGUG
rnacentral:rRNA from 1 species